rnacentral:lncRNA from 1 species
AGAAACACAAGGAAGAUUAGUUUGAGUUGAGAGUGGGUGUCUGGUUGGAGAGGACUCAGAGGAGGGCCACAGCCAAAAGCUUUCUCAGCCGUUCAUUAUAUACCCUCUCCCCUCUCCUGCCUCAACUCCACUCCCACACAUGGUGAAAGUGUCUGUGGUCCACAUGGUUGCUGUAUGGACAGUAGAGAGGACAUGGAUUUGUCGUUUGUCAUGCCCCUUUGCUGCCAGCUGUUGACCGUUCUCCUUGAACUCCGCCUCCCCUCUCUGCAUCUUCCUACAUCCGAAUGCUGGCAUCCCCUUCCUGUUUGACCUGACUGUGCCACAGGCCCCUGUGCUGUUAGAGAGCAGAUGCUGGAAGAGUGUGGGACUGCUGUAACAAUUGUCCAAACACAAAGUGUGUCCCUUGCUGACAUGAGUAGCCUGCAUGGUCAUCACCACUCACCCGGACACCCCAAGCCCCUCAUACUCAUCAAUGCAUAGGUCCUUGUAUGGCACAAAGACUCAACCAAAUGCUAUUGUCAGUCAGGCUG